rnacentral:lncRNA from 1 species
AUGAUGAGCAUGAAAAAAAAAAUGUUUGAAAAAGAGAAUGAGGAUUUCAAAGAAGAGGUUUUUAAACUGCACAAUGAGAUUUCGCGUCUCGAAAAUGCUCUGAAACACUCUGAAAAAAGAAACUAUUUAUUAGAUAAGCAAGUUCAAAGAAUGCGGUCAAAAAUGGACACAGAUGAGCAACUGUUCAAAAGUUGA